CGAAAGCCUGAUCCAGCAAUGCCGCGUGAGUGAAGAAGGCCUUCGGGUUGUAAAGGUCUUUUGUCAGGGAAGAAACGGUGAGGGCUAAUAUCCCUUGCUAAUGACGGUACCUGAAGAAUAAGCACCGGCUAACUACGUGCCAGCAGCCGCGGUAAUACGUAGGGUGCAAGCGUUAAUCGGAAUUACUGGGCGUAAAGCGUGCGCAGGCGGUUUUGUAAGUCUGAUGUGAAAUCCCCGGGCUCAACCUGGGAAUUGCAUUGGAGACUGCAAGGCUAGAAUCUGGCAGAGGGGGGUAGAAUUCCACGUGUAGCAGUGAAAUGCGUAGAUAUGUGGAGGAACACCGAUGGCGAAGGCAGCCCCCUGGGUCAAGAUUGACGCUCAUGCACGAAAGCGUGGGGAGCAAACAGGAUUAGAUACCCUGGUAGUCCACGCCCUAAACGAUGUCUACUAGUUGUCGGGUCUUAAUUGACUUGGUAACGCAGCUAACGCGUGAAGUAACC
rnacentral:rRNA from 1 species